rnacentral:rRNA from 1 species
AUUGAACGCUGGCGGCAGGCCUAACACAUGCAAGUCUAACGAGUGGCGGGCGGGUGAGUAAUGUCUGGGAAACUGCCCGAUGGAGGGGGAUCACUCCUGUAAACGGUAGCUAAUACCGCAUACCAACGGCUUGCCCCAGAUGGGAUUCGCUAGUAGGUGGGGUAACGGCUCACCUAGGCGACGAUCCCUCGCUGGUCGGAGAGGAUGACCAGCCAACCUGUAAGUGAUACCGGGGCCAGAGUCCUACGGGAGGCACCAGUGGGGAAUAUUGAAAUAUGGGCGCAAGCCUGAUGCAGCCAUGCCGCGUGUAUGAAGAAGGCCUUCGGGUUGUAAAGUACUUUCAGCGAGGAGGCGUUACUCGCAGAAGAAGCACCGGCUAACUCCGUGCCAGCAGCCGCGGUAAUAC